GAUGAACGCUGGCGGCGUGCCUAAUACAUGCAAGUCGAGCGAACGGACGAGAAGCUUGCUUCUCUGAUGUUAGCGGCGGACGGGUGAGUAACACGUGGAUAACCUACCUAUAAGACUGGGAUAACUUCGGGAAACCGUAGCUAAUACCGGAUAAUAUUUUGAACCGCAUGGUUCAAACGUGAAAGACGGUCUUGCUGUCACUUAUAGAUGGAUCCGCGCUGCAUUAGCUAGUUGGUAAGGUAACGGCUUACCAAGGCAACGAUGCAUAGCCGACCUGAGAGGGUGAUCGGCCACACUGGAACUGAGACACGGUCCAGACUCCUACGGGAGGCAGCAGUAGGGAAUCUUCCGCAAUGGGCGAAAGCCUGACGGAGCAACGCCGCGGGAGUGAGGAAGGUCUUCGGAUCGUAAAACUCUGUUAUUAGGGAAGAACAGAUGUGUAAGUAACUGUGCACAUCUUGACGGUACCUAAUCAGAAAGCCACGGCUAACUACGUG
rnacentral:rRNA from 1 species